rnacentral:rRNA from 1 species
AACGAACGCUGGCGGCAUGCCUAACACAUGCAAGUCGAACGAGACCUUCGGGUCUAGUGGCGCACGGGUGCGUAACGCGUGGGAACCUGCCCUUAGGUUCGGAAUAACUCCCCGAAAGGGGUGCUAAUACCGGAUAAUGUCUUCGGACCAAAGAUUUAUCGCCUUUGGAUGGGCCCGCGUUGGAUUAGCUAGUUGGUAGGGUAAAAGCCUACCAAGGCGACGAUCCAUAGCUGGUCUGAGAGGAUGAUCAGCCACACUGGGACUGAGACACGGCCCAGACUCCGACGGGAGGCAGCAGUGGGGAAUAUUGGACAAUGGGCGAAAGCCUGAUCCAGCAAUGCCGCGUGAGUGAUGAAGGCCUUAGGGUUGUAAAGCUCUUUUACCCGGGAUGAUAAUGACAGUACCGGGAGAAUAAGCUCCGGCUAACUACGUG